CUCAUCAGUAUCAAUUAAGGAACCGCAUUUGUCACAGGGAAAACUACAAGAGUAGGAGACUUGUUUUUUGCUUCAAGCUUCAGCUGGUAUGUCACUGACCAGGAAAGAGAAGCCUGAGAUGAAAUGUCCCAGAAAUAGUGAGUGAAGGAAGAACUACUUGGAGUGCUGCAAAAUGUUUUCAAGGACAUACCUAAAAAGGCAGGAAAUUUUGGACACUAGUUCUCAAGAGUGUAAUUCCCCUCAAACAUCAUAUAGGAAAUGCUCAUGGAUAGAACAUCUGCUUCUACGGCUGUUCUGCAUCCCCCAGUGAGAGGAUACACCUCAAAAGGUCCAAGAGCGUAUAGGCAGAUUUUCAGUUCUCACCAGAGAUACAUUUGUGCAUCAUUAUUUAUUUAACUUUAACCUUACUGCAUGUCAUAAAUCUUUGACAGGUGGGUUAAAGAUGAGUUUUCCACAUGUUUUCUCAGGAAUUGCUUUGUAAACCAUGAAGUGCAAAGGUCACAGUCAUGUUAGUUACCACAAGCUUGCUCUCAGACCUAAUCUAGGAAAACCAAAGCUGCAAACAGGAGGGCAUCUUGGUUCAAUGAUGCUAUUAUUUAUUUAAAAAAAAAAACCCAACAACAAAACUGUGCUUAAAUGUGUAGAAGUUAGUGGCAAUUUCUGCAGGUUUUACACUGGUGUGUAUAUAUAUGUG
ensembl:lncRNA